rnacentral:rRNA from 1 species
UACGUAGGUGGCAAGCGUUGUCCGGAAUUAUUGGGCGUAAAGCGCGCGCAGGCGGCCUCUUAAGUCUGAUGUGAAAGCCCCCCGGCUCAACCGGGGGAGGGCCAUUGGAAACUGGGAGGCUUGAGUAUAGGAGAGAAGAGUGGAAUUCCACGUGUAGCGGUGGAAAUGCGUAGAGAUGUGGAGGAACACCAGUGGCGAAGGCGACUCUUUGGCCUAUAACUGACGCUGAGGCGCGAAAGCGUGGGGAGCAAACAGG